AGCUGGCGCCCCUUCUUUGACGACUCCCCGUUGUCCCGCGCCGGCUGUUCCCCUCUGGAGGUUUUGACCUUCACACCUAGGGCCCCGGAGCGAUCCGAGGGCCUAUUUU
rnacentral:sRNA from 1 species